GCGAUCAUACCAGCAGUAAUGCACCGGAUCCCAUCAGAACUCCGAAGUUAAGCGUGCUUGUCCGAGAGUAGUACUAGGAUGGGUGACCCCCUGGGAAGUCCUCGUGUUGCACCCC
rnacentral:rRNA from 1 species